rnacentral:rRNA from 1 species
GACGAACGCUGGCGGCGUGCUUAACACAUGCAAGUCGAACGAAGUGGCGAACGGGUGAGUAACGCGUAAUCAACCUGCCCUUCAGAGGGGGACAACAGUUGGAAACGACUGCUAAUACCGCAUACUGAAGGAGGGGAUUGCGUCUGAUUAGCUAGUUGGAGAGGUAACAGCUCACCAAGGCGAUGAUGGGUAGCCGGCCUGGGAGGGUGAACGGCCACAAGGGGACUGAGACAGUGCACGGACUCCUACGGGAGGCAGCGGUGGGGAAUAGUGGACAAUGGCCGAGAGUCUGAUCCAGCAAUUCUGUGUGCACGAUGAGGUUUUUCGGAAUGUAAAGUGCUUUCAGUUGGGAAGCGGUACCAACAGAAGAAGUGACGGCUAAAUACGUGCCAGCCGCCGCGGUAAUAC